GGUGAGUGAUGCCUAUGAAUCUGCCUGGUAGUGGGGGACGACGAUUCCAAAGGAACGCUGAUACCGCAUACGUCCUACGGGAGAAAGCGGGGAUCUUCUGACCUGACGCUAUCGCAUGAGCCUACGUCGGAUUAGCUAGUUGGUGAGGUAGAGGCUCACCAACGCGACGAUCCGUAACUGGACUGAGAGGAUGAUCAGUCACACUGGAACUGACACUCAGUCCAGACUCCUACUGGAGGCAGCAGUGGGGAAUAUUGGACAAUGGGCGAAAGCCUGAUCCAGCCAUGCCCCGUGUGUGAAGAAGGUCUUCGGAUUGGAAAUCACUUUAAGUUGGGAGGAAGGGCAGUAAGUUAAUACCUUGCUGUUUUGACGUUACCAACAGAAUAAGCACCGGCUAACUUCCUGCCAGCAGCCGCGGUCAUACGAAGGGUGCAAGCGUUAAUCGGAAUUACUGGGCGUAAAGCUCGCGUAUGUGGGUCUUUAAGGUGGAUGUGAAAGCCCCAGGCUCAACCUGGGAACUGCAUCCGAAACUGGCAAUCUAGAGUAUGGCACAUGGUGGUGGAAUUUCCUGUGUAGCUGUGAAAUGCAUAGAUAUAGGAAGGAACACCAUUGGCGAACGCCACCACCUGGGCUAAUACUGACACUGAGGUGCGACAGUGUGGGGAGCAAACAUGAUUAGAUACCCUGGUAGUCCACGCCGUAAACGAUGUCGACUAGCCAUUGGGAUCCUUGAGAUCUUAGUGGCGCAGCUAACGCAUUAAGUCUACCGCCUGAGGAGUACGGCCGCAAGGUUAAGACUCAAAUGAAUUGACUGGGGCGCGCACAAGCGGUGGAGCAUGUGGUGUAAUUCAAAUCAACGCAUACAACCUUACCAGGCCUUGACAUGCAGAGAACUAUCCCGAGAUGGAUUGGUGCCUUCGGAACUCUACUCAGUGCUGCAUGGCUGUCGUCACCUCGUGUCGUGAAAUGUGGGUUAAGUCCCUUACCAACGCACCCUGCCCUUAUUCCAGCACUUAAGGNGGGCUCUAAGGAGACUGCCGUGACAAUCCGAGGAAGGGGNGGAUGACGUCAGUCAUGGCCUUACGUCUGGCUACACCUGCUAAUGGUCGGNCAAGGAUGGCAACCGNGAGGG
rnacentral:rRNA from 1 species